GCAGCAAAUGUUCUGUUGCUUUAGUAUAGUAUACUACAUUCUUGGUGUUUAAUUAUAAUAACUACUUCAAUAAAAUGAAUUUGAAAAUUAUAAUUUGUAUUGUAGCCACUAUAUUAUUCAUAAUGAUGUCGGAUGUAACAGCUCCAGAAGCUAAAGAUACUGGUGCGGAUCCUAAUACCCGCCGACCUCCUCCAUUACCUAUACCAGUACGAAACCCAAACCCAGCACCAACACUACCGGGUGAUCCAGAUCAACCAGUAGAUCCAUAAAAUAAUCCAUGAAGUGUCCAAGAUCUGGGUUCAAGACUGUGUACAUCGGUAUCUAGAACUGUUUUAAUUAUUUUUCACAACAUUAUUGCACGCUAUAUACAACUUAUAUAAAUAAAAUUCUGUUCUUAAAUUGUUUUAAAUGUAUGUAUGAAAUCCCAGUACAUAAUGAAAAAAUAAGUUUGCAUUGUU